GGGUGAACCAAUUGACAUGCAU
rnacentral:siRNA from 1 species